rnacentral:rRNA from 1 species
UCGGGAAUUUUGGGCAAUGGGGGAAACCCUGACCCAGCAACGCCGCGUGAAGGAUGAAGUAUUUCGGUAUGUAAACUUCGAAAGAAUAGGAAGAAUAAAUGACGGUACUAUUUAUAAGGUCCGGCUAACUACGUGCCAGCAGCCGCGGUAAUACGUAGGGACCAAGCGUUGUUCGGAUUUACUGGGCGUAAAGGGCGCGUAGGCGGCAUGACAAGUCACUUGUGAAAUCUCCGGGCUUAACCCAGAACGGCCAAGUGAUACUGUCGCGCUAGAGUGCAGAAGGGGCAAUCGGAAUUCUUGGUGUAGCGGUGAAAUGCGUAGAUAUCAAGAGGAACACCUGAGGUGAAGACGGGUUGCUGGGCUGACACUGACGCUGAGGCGCGAAAGCCAGGGGAGCAAACGGGAUUAGAUACCCAUGUAGUCCCUGAGCGGGCUGGCAAGGCGCAU